GGAUGAACGCUGGCGGCGUGCCUAAUACAUGCAAGUCGAGCGAACAGACGAGGAGCUUGCUCCUCUGACGUUAGCGGCGGACGGGUGAGUAACACGUGGAUAACCUACCUAUAAGACUGGGAUAACUUCGGGAAACCGGAGCUAAUACCGGAUAAUAUAUUGAACCGCAUGGUUCAAUAGUGAAAGACGGUUUUGCUGUCACUUAUAGAUGGAUCCGCGCCGCAUUAGCUAGUUGGUAAGGUAACGGCUUACCAAGGCAACGAUGCGUAGCCGACCUGAGAGGGUGAUCGGCCACACUGGAACUGAGACACGGUCCAGACUCCUACGGGAGGCAGCAGUAGGGAAUCUUCCACAAUGGGCGAAAGCCUGACGGAGCAACGCCGCGCGAGUGAUGAAGGUCUUCGGAUCGUAAAACUCUGUUAUUAGGGAAGAACAAAUGUGUAAGUAACUAUGCACGUCUUGACGGUACCUAAUCAGAAAGCCACGGCUAACUACGUG
rnacentral:rRNA from 1 species